rnacentral:rRNA from 1 species
AAUAGAUACCCCGGUAGUCCACGCCGUAAACGAUGGGCGCUAGGUGCUGGGGGGGAGCGACUCCCUCGGUGCCGCAGCUAACGCGAUAAGCGCCCCGCCUGGGGAGUACGGCCGCAAGGCUGAAACUCAAAGGAAUUGACGGGGGCCCGCACAAGCGGUGGAGCAUGUGGUUUAAUUCGAAACAACGCGAAGAACCUUACCUGGGCUUGACAUUGACGUGAAACUCCCCGGAAAGGGGGAGCCCUCUUCGGAGCACGUCAACAGGUGCUGCAUGGCUGCCGUCAGCUCGUGUCGUGAGAUGUUGGGUUAAGUCCCGCAACGAGCGCAACCCUUGCCCCGUGUUGCUAACGGGUCAUGCCGAGGACUCUCGGGGGACUGCCGGCGUCAAGCCGGAGGAAGGUGGGGACGACGUCAAGUCAUCAUGGCCCUUACGCCCAGGGCGACACACGUGCUACAAUGGCCGGUACAGAGGGCUGCGAACCCGCGAGGGGGAGCGAAUCCCAAAAGCCGGUCUAAGUUCGGAUUGCAGUCUGCAACUCGACUGCAUGAAGCC